rnacentral:rRNA from 1 species
CACAUGCAAGUCGAACGAGCGAGAGAGAGCUUUGCUUUUCUCAAGCGAGUGGCGAACGGGUGAGUAACGCGUGAGGAACCUGCCUCAAAGAGGGGGACAACAGUUUGGAAACGACUGCUAAUACCGCAUAAGCCCACAGCUCGGCAUCGAGCAGAGGGAAAAGGAGCAAUCCGCUUUGAGAUGGCCUCGCGUCCGAUUAGCUGGUUGGUGAGGUAACGGCCCACCAAGGCGACGAUCGGUAGCCGGACUGAGAGGUUGAACGGCCACAUUGGGACUGAGACACGGCCCAAACUCCUACGGGAGGCAGCAGUAGGGAAUCUUCCACAAUGGACGCAAGUCUGAUGGAGCAACGCCGCGUGAGUGAAGAAGGUUUUCGGAUCGUAAAGCUCUGUUGUUGGUGAAGAAGGAUAGAGGUAGUAACUGGCCUUUAUUUGACGGUAAUCAACCAGAAAGUCACGGCUAACUACGUG